rnacentral:rRNA from 1 species
AGAGUUUGAUCCUGGCUCAGAAUGAACGUUGGCGGCGUGGAUUAGGCAUGCAAGUCGAGCGAGAAGUCUUAGAAAGAUACUUCGGUUGAUUUUUAAAAUGGACAGCGGCGAAAGGGAGAGUAACGAGUAGAUUACGUACCCGAGGGUCCGGGAUAGCUGCGGGAAACUGCAGGUAAUACCGGAUAAUGUUUCCGAACCAAAAAUUUAUUGCCCUCGGAGCGGUCUGCUUACUAUUAGCUCGUUGGUGGGGUAAGAGCCUACCAAGGCAAAGAUGGUUAGCGGGUGUGAGAGCAUGGCCCGUCUCACUGGGACUGAGACACUGCCCAGACGUCUACGGACGGCUGCAGUCGAGAAUCUUCCGCAAUGGGCGAAAGCCUGACGGAGCGACGCCGCGUGCGGGAUGAAGGCCUUCGGGUUGUAAACCGCUGUCAGAGGGGAGCAAAUUUUGAGCAAUCCUCAGAGGAAGCACAGGCUAAGUUCGUGCCAGCAGCCGCGGUAAUACGAACUGUGCGAACGUUAUUCGGAAUCACUGGGCUUAAAGGGUGCGUAGGCGGCUUUGUAGGUCAGAUGUGAAAGCCCACGGCUCAACCGUGGAAUUGCGUUUGAAACCACAAAGCUUGAGGGAGAUAGAGGAGAGCGGAACUGAUGGUGGAGCGGUGAAAUGCGUUGAUAUCAUCAGGAACACCGGUGGCGAAAGCGGCUCUCUGGAUCUCUUCUGACGCUCAGGCACGAAAGCUAGGGGAGCGAACGGGAUUAGAUACCCCGGUAGUCCUAGCUGUAAACGAUGAGUACUAGUCCGUGGGGGCUUCCACACCUUCUCGGACGUAGCGAAAGUGUUAAGUACUCCGCCUGGGGAGUAUGGUCGCAAGGCAA